rnacentral:ncRNA from 1 species
GUGAAUAUGUACCCGGGCCCUGUACACACCGCCCGUCACACCCUGGGAAUUGGUUUCGCCCGAAGCAUCGGACCAAUGAUCACCCAUGACUUCUGUGUACCACUAGUGCCACAAAGGCCUUUGGUGGUCUUAUUGGCGCAUACCACGGUGGGGUCUUCGACUGGGGUGAAGUCGUAACAAGGUAGCCGUAGGGGAACCUGUGGCUGGAUUGAAUCCUUC